CAGUAGCCGCGGUAACACGUAUGUCGCAAGCGUUAUCCGGAAUUAUUGGGCAUAAAGGGCAUCUAGGCGGCCAGGCAAGUCUGGGGUGAAAACCUGCGGCUCAACCGCAGGCCUGCCCUGGAAACUGCGUGGCUAGAGUGCUGGAGAGGUGGACGGAACUGCACGAGUAGAGGUGAAAUUCGUAGAUAUGUGCAGGAAUGCCGAUGAUGAAGAUAGUUCACUGGACGGCAACUGACGCUGAAGUGCGAAAGCCGGGGGAGCGAACAGGACUAGAUACCCCUGUAGUCCCUGUCUCUUAUAC
rnacentral:rRNA from 1 species